UACAGAGGGGGCAAGCGUUGUUCGGAAUUACUGGGCGUAAAGGGCGCGUAGGCGGCCCGCUAAGUCGAACGGGAAAUCCCCGGGCUCAACCCGGGAACUGCGUCCGAUACUGGUGGGCUUGAAUCCGGGAGAGGGAUGCGGAAUUCCAGGUGUAGCGGUGAAAUGCGUAGAUAUCUGGAGGAACACCGGUGGCGAAGGCGGCAUCCUGGACCGGUAUUGACGCUGAGGCGCGAAAGCCAGGGGAGCAAACGGG
rnacentral:rRNA from 1 species